GGCCAUAUUACAUUGAAACACCGGUUUCCAUACGAUCACUGGUUAAGCAACGUCGUGUUUGGUCAGUACCUAGAUGGGUGACCGCCUGGGAAUAUUAGGUGCU